GUCUUCCGCUGCUUCAUUUGCAUGGAAAAGCUGCGUGAUGCUCGUCUCUGCCCUCACUGUUCCAAACUGUGCUGUUUCAGCUGCAUCCGGCGAUGGCUGACUGAACAGAGAGCUCAGUGUCCCCACUGUCGAGCUCCGCUUCAGCUGAGGGAACUGGUCAACUGUCGCUGGGCAGAGGAAGUGACUCAACAACUGGACACACUGCAGCUCUGCAACCUCACAAAACAUGAGGAGAACGACAAAGA